UUAGCGAAGCUUGAAUGCUACAGUGCAUAUGUUUUUUUUCCUCAAAAUUGCCCCGCAAUACUCAGCUGUCGUUGCUGCUACUCUUAUUCAAACAAGUAAAGCCGCUAAAUCCCCUAUUACUGUUGUUCUUGCCGAUCAAUUCGAGCUCCCGCCAUAGCUUCCGGCCGAGGUCGAAGGCAUCGUUCGCGGACUUCAAAAUCGAGCCUUUGGAGCUUAUAGCGGCGGGGAAAUUCAAGCUCCAAAGAGGGGUUUUAGCGAAUUCGUGGAUUCUUCAGAUUCUCCUCGCUCUUGAACAGGAAAGACUUGAAAUCGAAGAAGCACAAAUUUGUGAACAACUUUGUGAGUUGUAGCAGCAAAUUUGGGUACAACAAAUUUAUGGAAUCGAGGGGCGAAGGGGAUGAGAGGGGGCCUCUUUACAAUAGCAGUAGCAGCACCAGCUUUGUGAGCAGCUCUGCACAAAUUUAUGGAAGCAUUGAGAUGUCUGGCUUCAUUUUAUGAUUGAGAAAGCAAAUUGCUGCAACCGCGUCACUUUAGAGAGAAUUGAGCUAGAUAUAAUAAGGAUAUAUAUAUAAGGGCAUAAUUGUCAUUUCAAAAUAUUAAUGAGAACAUACGGGACAUUUCAU